CAAUAGCGUAUAUUAAAGUUGUUGCAGUUAAAAAGCUCGUAGUUGGAUUUCGGGACGGGCCAGUUGGUCCGCCGCAAGGUGUGUUACUGACUGGUCUGUUCUUCUUCGCAAAGACUGCGUGUGCUCUUCGUUGAGUGUGCGUAGGAUUUACGACGUUUACUUUGAAAAAAUUAGAGUGUUCAAAGCAGGCUAUCGCUUGAAUACAUGAGCAUGGAAUAAUGGAAUAGGACUUUGGUCCUAUUUUGUUGGUUUCUAGGACCGAAGUAAUGAUUAAGAGGGACAAUUGGGGGCAUCCGCAUUUCGUUGUCAGAGGUGAAAUUCUUGGAUUUACGAAAGACGAACAACUGCGAAAGCACUUGCCAAGAGUGUUUUCAUUAA
rnacentral:rRNA from 1 species